GAACGGCGGGAGCGAGCGGAAAACGUAACGGGGAAUAAAACAGCGAGUACCGAGGAACGCCUGGGAGAGAACGGGCACGAACCGUAACGGGGAAUAAAACACGGGCACCGAGGAACGCCUGGGAGAGAACGGGCGGAAAACGUAACGGGGAAUAAAACAGAGAGUACUGAGGAACGCCUGGGAGCGAACGGGCGGAAAACGUAACGGGGAAUAAAACAGAGAGUACCGAGGAACGCCUGGGAGAGAACGGGCGGAAAACGUAACGGGGAAUAAAACAGAGAGUACCGAGGAACGCCUGGGAGCGAACGGGCAGGAACCGUAACGGGGCACAAAGCACCGGCACCGAGGAACGCGGGCUGGAGGUAUCGGGGUGGCCAAAACUGACCCCGGGCUGCACCGCUCGCCUCGCAAGGCCGAGCUUUUGCUGCGUCUGAAACAGCACACGCCACUGCUCCGACCAGUUCUCGGGGAAAAAAGAAGCAGAAAGGCUGAAUGGCGCCCUAUUCUUCUGAAGUUCUUCUUAGCCUUCUGAAGUUUGCAUUUUUGGAGUCGGAGUUCUCACAGUUUUUCAUAUAAACAAAAGUGCAUGUUAUUCUGUUUUGCAUUCCUCUCUGGAGGAAGAGAGAAGCUGAUGGACUGGUGCUUUGACCAGUGUGCUUGAGGAGGUGCUAACCCCGUCCUCCAAUGCACAGCUAGUGUCAGAAAUGUAUAAACAGCAGAGCAAAAAUUAAACUCGCUCUCUCUCUCUCUCUGUGUCCGUGUCGUUCAUUUCGUGUCCUACUGUGACAGCUGAACUGCCACAAGUGUCAUAAGAGUCCAAGACUUAGCUUCACACCUCUAAACCAGCACGAUUAUAAAAGUUCAUUUUUUUAAUAUUUAUAUAUGCUUAAUACAUCUGACACCUGGGGGCUGGCUGUUGGCUUUCAAUCCUCCUGCCGCUUUCAUACCGUGAAAGGAAAGUCAUUCAUGCAUGGCACUAAGCAGAAACAUUACCUGUUAAAGUACAAAUGUUUCCAAACCCUCC